rnacentral:rRNA from 1 species
GAUGAACGCUGGCGGCGUGCCUAAUACAUGCAAGUCGAGCGAACGGACGAGAAGCUUGCUUCUCUGAUGUUAGCGGCGGACGGGUGAGUAACACGUGGAUAACCUACCUAUAAGACUGGGAUAACUUCGGGAAACCGGAGCUAAUACCGGAUAAUAUUUUGAACCGCAUGGUUCAAAAGUAAAAGACGGUCUUGCUGUCACUUAUAGAUGGAUCCGCGCUGCAUUAGCUAGUUGGUAAGGUAACGGCUUACCAAGGCAACGAUGCAUAGCCGACCUGAGAGGGUGAUCGGCCACACUGGAACUGAGACACGGUCCAGACUCCUACGGGAGGCAGCAGUAGGGAAUCUUCCGCAAUGGGCGAAAGCCUGACGGAGCAACGCCGCGUGAGUGAUGAAGGUCUUCGGAUCGUAAAACUCUGUUAUUAGGGAAGAACAUAUGUGUAAGUAACUGUGCACAUCUUGACGGUACCUAAUCAGAAAGCCACGGCUAACUACGUGCCAGCAGCCGCGGUAAUACGUAGGUGGCAAGCGUUAUCCGGAAUUAUUGGGCGUAAAGCGCGCGUAGGCGGUUUUUUAAGUCUGAUGUGAAAGCCCACGGCUCAACCGUGGAGGGUCAUUGGAAACUGGAAAACUUGAGUGCAGAAGAGGAAAGUGGAAUUCCAUGUGUAGCGGUGAAAUGCGCAGAGAUAUGGAGGAACACCAGUGGCGAAGGCGACUUUCUGGUCUGUAACUGACGCUGAUGUGCGAAAGCGUGGGGAUCAAACAGGAUUAGAUACCCUGGUAGUCCACGCCGUAAACGAUGAGUGCUAAGUGUUAGGGGGUUUCCGCCCCUUAGUGCUGCAGCUAACGCAUUAAGCACUCCGCCUGGGGAGUACGACCGCAAGGUUGAAACUCAAAGGAAUUGACGGGGACCCGCACGAGCGGUGGAGCAUGUGGUUUAAUUCGAAGCAACGCGAAGAACCUUACCAAAUCUUGACAUCCUUUGACAACUCUAGAGAUUGAGCCUUCCCCUUCGGGGGACAAAGUGACAGGUGGUGCAUGGUUGUCGUCAGCUCGUGUCGUGAGAUGUUGGGUUAAGUCCCGCAACGAGCGCAACCCUUAAGCUUAGUUGCCAUCAUUAAGUUGGGCACUCUAAGUUGACUGCCGGUGACAAACCGGAGGAAGGUGGGGAUGACGUCAAAUCAUCAUGCCCCUUAUGAUUUGGGCUACACACGUGCUACAAUGGACAAUACAAAGGGCAGCGAAACCGCGAGGUCAAGCAAAUCCCAUAAAGUUGUUCUCAGUUCGGAUUGUAGUCUGCAACUCGACUACAUGAAGCUGGAAUCGCUAGUAAUCGUAGAUCAGCAUGCUACGGUGAAUACGUUCCCGGGUCU